CACUCCUGCGGGAGGCAGCAGUGGGGAAUAUUGGACAAUGGGCGCAAGCCUGAUCCAGCCAUGCCGCGUGAGUGAUGAAGGCCCUGGGGUUGUAAAGCUCUUUCACCGGUGAAGAUAAUGACGGUAACCGGAGAAGAAGCCCCGGCUAACUUCGUGCCAGCAGCCGCGGUAAUACGAAGGGGGCUAGCGUUGUUCGGAUUUACUGGGCGUAAAGCGCACGUAGGCGGACUAUUAAGUCAGAGGUGAAAUCCCGGGGCUCAACCCCGGAACUGCCUUUGAUACUGGUAGUCUUGAGUUCGAGAGAGGUGAGUGGAAUUCCGAGUGUAGAGGUGAAAUUCGUAGAUAUUCGGAGGAACACCAGUGGCGAAGGCGGCUCACUGGCUCGAUACUGACGCUGAGGUGCGAAAGCGUGGGGAGCAAACAGGAUUAGAUACCCGUGUAGUCCCAU
rnacentral:rRNA from 1 species